GCAGUGGUGGUUCGGUUGUGGAAUUCUCACCUUUCACGUGGGAGACCCCAAGUUCGAUUCCCGGCUGAUGUA
rnacentral:tRNA from 1 species